rnacentral:lncRNA from 1 species
GUAUAUGUAGAUAGAUCUAUGUCGGUUACCCGAAGAUAAUAUGGCAACCAGGUAGAUAGAUAGAUAUAUGUGAAGAUAGAUAUAUAUGAAAUGCACCGUGGGAUACACUGGUGCUUAAAAUUUAGAAAACACCGUGGGAUACACAAGUGUAGUCUGUAUUAUCCAAAAACCUAAAAUUUCAUAGUUAACAUUAAGAUUCUAUGCAGCGAAUUCUGCCAUUUACGGGAAUAUAUUUAUGAUGCUCAAAGUUCAAAAAUAAAAGUCACUUUUCUCAACAGCAAACGAGUUAACAUCAUCAGUCAAAUCUGUAUCACCACUCUCCCGACAAAACCUGAAAAAUAAAUACAAAAGAGCAGUAUCUUGUUCAAUAAAAAGGAGUGGGAGGGCGGGUUUUCAAGUUUACCGCUUACAAAAUUUAAACAUCUUGCUUGCUGCGAUGAAAUUCUAAAAAGGAAUAAAUGACGUCACAGAAUAUAACGUCACUCAUGUCGGGUAAAUCUAAAACAUGAAACGCAAUCCGUGAGUGGCCCCGGCGAUAACUGAAUUUAAGUCUAUUAACUUAAAUUCCAUUAUCUCAGAUGGUGCCAUUUAAAACAAAAUACAUAUAUGGUUUGGCGAUAUCUGGCCACAGCUUUUAUUCAUAAUAUGAUAGAUUCAUAUAAUAUAUAAUAUAUAUACAUGUAGAUAGAUAUGUUGUAGAUAGAUACUAAGAUAUGUUGUAGAUAGAUAUAUAGACCAUAGACCAUGUAUAUGUAGAUAGAUCUAUGGUCGGUUACCCGAAGAUAAUAUGGCAACCAGGUAGAUAGAUAUAUGUGAAGAUAGAUAUAUAUGAAAUGCACCGUGGGAUACACUGGUGCUUAAAAUUUAGAAAACACCGUGGGAUACACAAGUGUAGUCUGUAUUAUCCAAAAACCUAAAAUUUCAUAGUUAACAUUAAGAUUCUAUGCAGCGAAUUCUGCCACAUUGACGGAGGAAAACAGAGACUCUGUCAACCGCCAUAAAAAGGGCGGUUCGCUGCAAAGCUGUGAACCAGAUAUGAGAUAACUUCAGAUAGGUAGAUAUUUUUAUUUAACGUGUACUAUAGAUAUUAAAUAAUCUAGAUAGAUAGAUAGAUAUUAUUUAACGUACAACUUGGUACAUAUAUAGAUAGAUAGAUAUUUUACUGAACGUACAACUUGGUCCAUAUAUAUGAUAAUGUCUAGAUAGAUAAAUAGGUAUUUUUAUUUAACGUACAACUUGGUACAUAUAUAUAUUAAAUAAUCUAGAUAGAUAGAUAGAUAUUAUUUAACGUACAACUUGGUACAUAAUAGAUAAAUAGAUAUUUUACUGAACGUACAACUUGGUCCAUAUAUAUGAUAAUGUCUAGAUAGAUAAAUAGAUAUUUAUUUAACGUACAACUUGGUACAUAUAAUAUUCAAUAAUCUAGAUAGAUAGAUAGAUAUUUUUUAACGUACAACUUGGUACAUAUAUAGAUAGAUAGAUAUUUUACUGAACGUACAACUUGGUCCAUAUAUAUGAUAAUGUCUAGAUAGAUAAAUAGAUAUUUUUUUAAAGUAAACUGGUACAAUGUUAAAUAAUCUAGAUGAAGUUUGUGAACAACUGUUCAAAACAUAUUUACCUACACAGAUAAAAAUACUUACCAAAACUACAGCAAACCAUAAAAUAGUUGAUUGUAUUUGUAUAUCAUAAAAUAUAGUAUAUUAUUGUAUAAUAUCAACCAAUAAUAUAAAGAUGUUUAAGAAUUCAUUUCAUAAGCAGGUUAAGAGUGACAAGUGAAAAACAUCCAGUGAAAAAGUUCUGAUCUGAUCGAAUCAUAAUAUUUUAUGUAGCAACCUGACAGCUUAUUAUAAAGGCAAUAAAUAGUUGUAAAUUUAUAGCAGCACCAGUCCAGUUUGCAUUGGUCUAAAUUGCCACCAUCCUUACUUAAGAAAGAUGAAUUUCACACUCCAUCUGGUCAUGUUCUACAUCUCAUUGGCAAAGACCCACUCUAGAACUACCUGUGUCAAUACCACUACAAGUUUAUUAAAAUUAUGUUGGAUCCUUACAGUUUCAUUAUACAUGUAUAUUCUGAGUUAACGUUUAACAGUGACAAAUAUGCCACCACAAAAAAAACAUUUCCAUGCCUAGACCUAGUCAACCCCAUCUGGAGGAUAUCAGUCUGCUACAAAAACAUACUUACUAUUGAGGAUUCUACUAUUAAAACAUCAAACAUUAAAAAUCUCCUACAAUUCUGUAUGGCAAAUAGCUACAUGGAAUUAUAUGCUACAUAGUAAUAUGAUUACAAUUUAAAGCAUAAUAAAUCAAGACAAAUAAUAAUUCUUCAGGAAAACCCUGUAUUAAGUGUCAGUAUUGGAUCUUCGAACCCAUUUAUUGAUUUUAUAAUCCUUCAAAAUCAAUGAAAGGACAGCUUUAUUACAUUAAAUGACAAGGUGAUUUGAACUUGGAUAUCACAAGGCCUAGAUUAAACAAGGUAAACCUGGUUAAAGUUACCUGUUAGGACAUCCAAAAGUUAUAAAGGAUGACCUGUGUUACACAAAAAACAAAACACAAACAAGUGCUUAACAACAUCUAGAUACCCUCAUAAUUAAAAGCAUAACAAAUCAAAUAGUCCCAGCGUUCAUGCUAAAGUUACUGAAAUUCAACCUGUACUAUAAUUUCCAUAAUAAAUAACAACCAUAAUUUGGAAUCAACUGUUGCCCAGCAACCAGUAGGGCCAAUCAUUUAUGCAAAGAAAAGUUCCAUAUAAAGCACCAGCCUAAAAUAACAAACGGCACCUAAACAUACAGCGUACAAUACUCAUAAAUUGGGCAACUUCUAGAAUCCCCCAGGAUGAAGAUUACAAUACAUUCUAUACUAGUAUAUAUAUAAAUUAAGCUGUUGACACCUAAAUACUAAAGAUUUUUAGCAGUGGAGCAGACUGCAAGACAAAGCUGUAAAUAAUUACUUAGUUUGUUCUAGAUUUGCUAAUAUUACAUGUACAUACAUGUAUAUAUUUAACUGCGACUGACAAUUUAAAAAGUAAAAAAAAAAACAAACUUGUCAAGAUUAAAAGUUGAUUACAAGAUAAAACCAUUGGACCCCUUUUUUCCCUUAAUAUAUAUGUAUAUAUAUAAAAACAAGAGUGCACACACUGAAAUGUCUUGCCUUCUUUACUAAUCCUUGAUACUAUCUUGAUAGGCCUAAAUAUACAGCUUUAUUACAACUGUCAAAUAAACUCAACAUUAACCAAGAAAAGGAAACAUUGAUCAAUCAACCAUGAAAAUGAGGUCAAGGUCAGAUGAACCAUGCCAGGCAGACAUGUACAGCUAACAAUUCUUCAAUACAACAAAUAUAGUUGACUUAUUGCUUAUAAAUAAAGAAAAACAGACCAAAACACACAAACACUUAAAACUUAGCAAUUGACCGUGAAAAUGAGGUCAAAAUCAAAUAAAACCAGCGUAAACCACAUGAGGAUCAUAAAAUAUGUCCAUACACCAAAUAUAGUUGACCUAAUUCACAAGGUAUUAGAAAAAUAGACCAAAACUAAAAAACUUAACUUUGACCACUGAACCAUAAAAAAUAAGGUCAAGGUCAGAUGACACCUGUCAGCUAGACAUGUACACCUUACAAUCAUUCCAUACACCAAUUAUAGUAGACCUAUUGCAUAUAGUAUAAGAAAAACAGACCAAAACACAAAAACUUAACUAUAACCAUUGAACCAUGAAAAUGAGGUCAAGGUCAGAUGACACCUGUCAGCUAGACAUGUACACCUUACAAUCAUUCCAUACACCAAUGAUAGUAGACCUAUUGCAUAUAGUAUAAGAAAAACAGACCAAAACACAAAAACUUAACUAUAACCAUUAAACCAUGAAAAUGAGGUCAAGGUCAGAUGACACCUGUCAGCUAGACAUGUACACCUUACAAUCAUUCCAUACACCAAUUAUAGUAGACUUAUUGCAUAUACAUAUGUAGUAUAAGAAAAACAGACCAAAACACAAAAACUUAACUAUAACCACUGAACCAAGAAAAUGAGGUCAAGGUCAGAUGACACCUGCCAGUUGGACAUGUACACCUUACAGUCCUUCCAUACACUGAAUAUACUAGAUCAUUUGCUUAUAGUAUCUGAGAUAUGGACUUGACCACCAAAACUUAACCUUGUUCACUGAUCCAUGAAAUGAGGUCGAGGUCAUGUGAAAACUGUCUGACAGACACGAGGACCUGCAAGGUACGCACAUACCAAAUAUAGUUAUCCAAUUACUUAUAAUAAGAGAGAAUUUAACAUUACAAAAAAAUCUUUUUUAUUUAUCAGGUUAUUAAACAAGAUAAAUAUUAAUAUUAUAAAUGUUAUAUAAAUCGAUAGCGUCCUCCAUUCAAAAAGUGAUAAAUACCAAACAACAUUUAAAAGUUUCAAAGAGAUAAAUAUAAUUAUAACAAUUAUAUAGAAUGUAACGUCAUAUUUCCAAAAGUUUUUUAUUUAAAACACAUGAUGUGGCAUCCCAUCAUUGUAUGGCCAUAAAAAUUUGUAAACGUAACACAUUCAGCAAUUUUAAGUUUAGAAACUGAGAUAUAAACAACGUUACACAAAUCUUUUCAAUCCUACCCAUAAGAUUAGAAAAAGUUGUCUUAAUCUAUAUAAAUAAGUUUGUUAUAUGUUGGAAUCACAUGUACAUUUUGUACAUGAGUUGGUUUAACUUAAAAGUAAUAUACUGCUUUUAACUAAAAAAUCUGACGAUUACCUGAAAAUUUUUCAACUGAAUCAUACCAAUGCGAAGCUCUAGGGGUUAGCAUAAAUAUCAUCGAUGAUAAUCCAAUGUACAAAUGUAUGUGACCAAAGCAGUUGAGUUAGUGGCGUGAUGAGUCGUGAAUCCAGUCCAGUAUGGUAACCCAUUUGUAAAAAAAAAACUGGUGUGGCCUUGUUGUCCAAGUCUCAGGUCCAACUGUUACAAUCCUUGGCCAUGUUCUGUGGCCGAGCAAGGUCUCUUCUUGAUCUACCCAACAUGUGCUACAACUCAACAAAAAGUAAAUAUUAGUUUCCCCAUGCUACAAUGUACAUAGCAUUGACAUAACAAAACCAAAUGACUGUACAAAGAAACAAUAACAAUUAAAAAUUAUGUAUACUCAUACAUGUGGUUGUGUCAAUAAUAGUUACAAUGAUUUAAAAAUAAUUCAAAAUUAGUAUAUAUACAGAUUUAUAUAAACUAAAAUCCAUAGUCAGUUGAUAGUAACAUAGUGUAAUAUUAGUAUAUAAUUGAGUUAUUAUUGAUUCGUUAUUACAACAAUAAUUCAAGCUGUGGCCUGUUGACAUAUUUGUUGGCUAAAUUCUUGAUCUAACUGAACUAUUCAUACCAUAUCACCGCUUACAAAAUUUAAACAUCUUGCUUGCUGCGAUGAAAUUCUAAAAAGGAAUAAAUGACGUCACAGAAUAUAACGUCACUCAUGUCGGGUAAAUCUAAAACAUGAAACGCAAUCCGUGAGUGGCCCCGGCGAUAACUGAAUUUAAGUCUAUUAACUUAAAUUCCAUUAUUAAAGUUGAUAUAGGCUAAAAAUACCGCAAUCAAACUGUUUGAAAAACUGAAUUGUAUGAUCAAAAUCCGCUUAUUUUAAAAUUUAUAAUUCAGUUAUGAAAUG